rnacentral:rRNA from 1 species
GACGAACGCUGGCGGCGUGCUUAACACAUGCAAGUCGAACGGAAAGGCCUGCUUUCCCUUGUGGAUUGCGGGUACUCGAGUGGCGAACGGGUGAGUAACACGUGAGUGAUCUGCCCCCAACUUGGGUAUAAGCCUGGGAAACUGGGUCUAAUUCCCGAUAGGACUGCAGGGUGGUGCCUGUGGUGGAAAACGAUUUUCUAGUGGUUGGGGAUGAGCUCGCGGCCUAUCAGCUUGUUGGUGGGGUAAUGGCCUACCAAGGCGGCGACGGGUAGCCGGCCUGAGAGGGUGGACGGCCACAUUGGGACUGAGACACGGCCCAGACGCCUACGGGAAGCAGCAGUGGGGAAGAUUGCACAAUGGGCGGAAGCCUGAUGCAGCGACGCCGCGUGGGGGAUGACGGCCUUCGGGUUGUAAACUCCUUUCGACCGCGAGGAAGCCACCUGGUUGGAAGGGUGGUGACGGUAGUGGUAGAAGAAGCACCGGCUAACUACGUG